rnacentral:ncRNA from 3 species
AACGCACCUUGCGCUCUAUGGCAAUCCGUAGAGCAUGCCUGUUUGAGUGCCAUGAAAUCUCCCACCCCAAGCGGUUUUUAAAUGAAACGGCUUGGCGGAUGGGGUCUGGAUGGGUGCCUCUGCCUGCGCUACCUAGCACAGGCUCGCCCGAAAUGCAUGAGCGCCUUGAGACACUUUGCAUCCGCCUCUCUGUUUGGGAGGAGGCGGCCAAGCAGUGUUUUUCUCCUGGCAUGGCAUGAUACGUCAUUUGCUAUGUCGCCUAAAGGAGGAAUGUUUGGUUGUGUCUGCGUGUGCUUCGAACUUGCCUCUGUGGCACAUCCCAAUUUCACUUCUGGUCUCAAAUCAGGUAGGAUCACCCGCUGAACUUAA